rnacentral:rRNA from 1 species
CCCCUAGAUGUUCUGGGCCGCACGCGCGCUACACUGAACAGUUCAACAAGUCUUAACCUUGGCCGAUAGGUCUGGGUAAUCUUUGAACGCUGUUCGUGAUUGGGAUAGACCUUUGCAAUUAUGGGUCUUCAACGAGGAAUUCCUAAUAAACGCAAGUCAUCAGCUUGCAUUGAUUACGUCCCUGCCCUUUGUACACACCGCCCGUCGCACCUACCGAUUGAAUGGUCCGGUGAAAUCUCGGGACGGCGGCUUGGUCGCUUGCGUCCGACUGCUGAAACUUGAUUAAACCAUAUCAUUUAGAGGAAGGUGAANUCGUAACA